UUGUUUUAAUAUUGUGGGUCAGUAAGUGGAGACUGAAAAUUUCACAAGAGUGCGCAGUUUUGAGUGGAUCCUCUUUUGAAAAUAUUGCAGAAUAUGGGGCACCUGUGAUCUGAUUCAGCCCACCAUGAGUAGGAGCAGGAAACACCAAAGGAGCAAAGGUGUUACCAGGAACCAUGCAGACACCUCUGGACCAGAACUUGGCGUUUUUUACAGUGACGAUCUUGAGCAGCAGAAAGGAAAGGCAUAGUGAAGAAGUUUGCAAUCAAACUACAGUUUGAGCUUAACCCAAAGCUCUGAAGUAAAGGAGAGGCUCACCCAUCAAUGGGCAGAGGCUACAGAAAACCAAAAGAUGAGGGCUCUGCCCUGAUGUGUUAGCGUUAGCAGCCUGUGGAUUUCUGAGCCGCGCUGAAACGGGAACUCAGAGCAGCCAACCUAAGUCGGUCGAGCAGAGACGGCAGCGCAAAGCAAAGGAGGAAGACAAAAAUAAGAUCGAGUGAAGUUAAACCAUACAGGAUCUUUUCGUGCACAUAAACAGUAUCAGUACCCAGAAUUGAACAGACUCAACAUGGCUGCAGAAAUGCAGUUCUGCAUGCUGUGGUUCGUGGGAUUUUGUAAGCUUUAUUAAGAUGUCCCUCUUCUGAAAUUAAAAACAAAGGAGAAGGAAACCACCCAGUCACACUAGGUGAGUUUGCUUACCCGUGUUCUGAACUGAGAGCUAAGCUGCAAUAUUUACAGUUUAGAUGUGUGGCAUAUUCUGGGAUGAAGUCAGAGCUGACUGUUUUUCUGAAUCAUGCUUGGCCCCAAGCCUGAGAUAAAGAAAGAGUCAAUAUAUAUUUGCCUGUGGAGUAGACAAUUAGAACAAUUAAUCUGAGAACCAGGACAAGCUGUGAGACCAUGAGCUGAUUCAGGCACACCCUCUACUAACUUAAAUUUUGAUCAAUGUUUAAAACACCCUGGGAAGGACUGGGGUGAUGAGGCCCAGUGGCUGAGAUUCAGGUUCACUGUCUGCGUCCGUUGCUGUGACGUGCGGUCAGACCUCGGGCAACGCGUUUUCCUCUUGUCUCUGAAACAGGCCAAUGAUAUGCACUGCCUUGUUGAGCUUUGUGGUUACAAGCAGCAUGUUGUGAAUGAAAUGUUAAGUACAUCUCAAAGUCAGCCAAGACAAGAAUUGCAUUUUUCUUCCUAAUAUCUAUUAGCUCAGAGCAACGGAAGAACCCCACUUGCUACCAGCUCACUCUUCUCGUUUGGAGUUGUGGAGCUAGCCUGAUCAUAUCCACUAGAUAUUUGCUUUCAGGGUCGCAUGAAAGUAGUGCAAAAGAAAGAUCUUUUGUGGGGAUGACAUGCUUGGAAAUAUACUUGUCCAAAACAAACAGUGCUUGUUCUUUCUUCAGCUAAUUCACUGAAAAGAUAUUAUUUUAGUCAAGAAAACGGUAUCAAUUCUCUUCCUUUUAGGCAGGAUGGUGGCAGGUUUCCCAUGUAGAUUUGUUGAAGGUAUAAUUUUGACAGGAGCAUCUGGCUCCUUUGUGAGCUUCACAAGCAAUUGUGUGGCAGUAGCUUUGGGUCGGCCUCUGGUUGAGCCAUGUGGGCAGCCCUUUGACAUGUCUGUGCUGCUUUUCCUGUUCCACUCGGUUUUGUUUUGACUCUCUUUUGAGCUUCCUAAAUAUGCAGCCUUGCUCUGCAGAUUCCCUGGGACAGUUUCAUUCAAGGUCCCUGACAAGGACUGUGGUUUUGCCAGGACUCAAGGAUCCAUUCUCACACUGAUGCUGUGUGUUACAUUAGCCGACAGCUGCUUUUGGCAAGGUUUUUUUUUUUUUUUAGAAAUCCUCUUAGAGAAGGGAAAAGAGUGAUCUCUGGAUAGCAGAGCUUUCAAUUCUCAAAAUAAACCAUGCCAGGUUGUUUAAGAAUUUAAAAGCACUUGUGAGCGUCCC